AUCACAUGACAGCCGAAUCACCGAAAAAACCGGUGUACGGGGGAUUUUUGGUCGUUUGACCUGGGGUGAAUUGCGUUUGCAACGGGUAGCUCGUUAUCCGAACCCGACAACUAACCUCGGAGGCAUAAACGAGAGGACGG
rnacentral:sRNA from 2 species